GUAUAAUAUGUUUCACAUGCUUCAACUUUACUUGGUGUAUGUAAAAACAUAGGCAGUGAAACAGGAACAAAACUAGUUCCUCAUUUCUGCCUACAGGAUGUGCACAGGUGGAUAGGAUAAGAGUUGAGGAGUGCACAUGCUUAAAGCCAGCACAUCCCCUGGUUUUCUUUAAUGAUCCUUCCGCAGGUUCACCUACGGAAA
rnacentral:misc_RNA from 1 species